GUGAGAGGGGGCUUGCCCCCGAUAGCGGUAGAUCAGGCAGGUUGUCUUCAGCUGACCCACUGCAAUCGGGGGCAAGCCCCCUCCCAC
rnacentral:misc_RNA from 1 species